ACUUUAAAUUCCGUAGAUGACGGCUCUUUGAAAGGAAUACACACACAUUAAAGGGAACAUUCGCAUGCAAGCUAGUGCCAGCUGUAGAAAUAUGCUGUCAUCUGCAUUCGCUUCUUCCCCAGAUCUGGGAGUGGCGUACAGUAACCAUGCGUUUAGUUUAGAGUAUAAUUACCCGAAUUCAAGUCAGUCGUCGAAAGGUGCAGAAUCAGGCAGCAAGAAGCCUGGAAAAUCGUAGCCUUUGAAUUUCUAUGUCUACUCCAAUAUCAAGUGAAAAUGUUUGUACAUCUAAUAAACAUCUCAAA